rnacentral:rRNA from 1 species
GAAUAGGGGAGCCGAAGGGAAACCGAGUCUUAACUGGGCGUUAAGUUGCAGGGUAUAGACCCGAAACCCGGUGAUCUAGCCAUGGGCAGGUUGAAGGUUGGGUAACACUAACUGGAGGACCGAACCGACUAAUGUUGAAAAAUUAGCGGAUGACUUGUGGCUGGGGGUGAAAGGCCAAUCAAACCGGGAGAUAGCUGGUUCUCCCCGAAAGCUAUUUAGGUAGCGCCUCGUGAAUUCAUCUCCGGGGGUAGAGCACUGUUUCGGCAAGGGGGUCAUCCCGACUUACCAACCCGAUGCAAACUGCGAAUACCGGAGAAUGUUAUCACGGGAGACACACGGCGGGUGCUAACGUCCGUCGUGAAGAGGGAAACAACCCAGACCGCCAGCUAAGGUCCCAAAGUCAUGGUUAAGUGGGAAACGAUGUGGGAAGGCCCAGACAGCCAGGAUGUUGGCUUAGAAGCAGCCAUCAUUUAAAGAAAGCGUAAUAGCUCACUGGUCGAGUCGGCCUGCGCGGAAGAUGUAACGGGGCUAAACCAUGCACCGAAGCUGCGGCAGCGACACUAUGUGUUGUUGGGUAGGGGAGCGUUCUGUAAGCCUGUGAAGGUGGCCUGUGAGGGUUGCUGGAGGUAUCAGAAGUGCGAAUGCUGACAUAAGUAACGAUAAAGCGGGUGAAAAGCCCGCUCGCCGGAAGACCAAGGGUUCCUGUCCAACGUUAAUCGGGGCAGGGUGAGUCGACCCCUAAGGCGAGGCCGAAAGGCGUAGUCGAUGGGAAACAGGUUAAUAUUCCUGUACUUGGUGUUACUGCGAAGGGGGGACGGAGAAGGCUAUGUUGGCCGGGCGACGGUUGUCCCGGUUUAAGCGUGUAGGCUGGUUUUCCAGGCAAAUCCGGAAAACCAAGGCUGAGGCGUGAUGACGAGGCACUACGGUGCUGAAGCGACAAAUGCCCUGCUUCCAGGAAAAGCCUCUAAGCAUCAGGUAACAUCAAAUCGUACCCCAAACCGACACAGGUGGUCAGGUAGAGAAUACCAAGGCGCUUGAGAGAACUCGGGUGAAGGAACUAGGCAAAAUGGUGCCGUAACUUCGGGAGAAGGCACGCUGAUAUGUAGGUGAAGCGACUUGCUCGUGGAGCUGAAAUCAGUCGAAGAUACCAGCUGGCUGCAACUGUUUAUUAAAAACACAGCACUGUGCAAACACGAAAGUGGACGUAUACGGUGUGACGCCUGCCCGGUGCCGGAAG